AUAAAUAUAUGAAAAACCAACAAAUAAAAAAUAAACAUUAAAAAAUCUGUUCUUAUCAGUUUAAUAUCUGAUACAUCCCUUAUCUGGGGACAAUAUAUUAAAUUGAUUUUUGGAACAGGGAGCUGGAAUAGUAGCUUGCUCCGUCUGCUCUGCGUAUCAACCCGGUAUUGUAGUGCCUUCGGGAACAGUGCACCUCCC